UGCACCACUCCUACGGGAGGCUGCCGUCGAGGAUCUUCCGCAAUGGGCGCAAGCCUGACGGAGCGACGCCGCGUGUGGGAUGAAGGCCUUCGGGUUGUAAACCACUGUCACUCGUUAGGAAAGGGUUCGGCGUUAACAGCGUCGAGCACUGACGAAGGCGAGAGAGGAAGCCACGGCUAACUUCGUGCCAGCAGCCGCGGUAAGACGAAGGUGGCGAGCGUUGUUCGGAAUCACUGGGCAUAAAGCGCACGUAGGCGGUGACGUAAGUCGGGUGUGAAAUCCCUCGGCCUAACCGAGGAACUGCGCCCGAUACUGCGUUGCUUGAGGACCAGAGGGGUGCAUGGAAUUUCCGGUGGAGCGGUGAAAUGCGUUGAUAUCGGAAGAAACUCCGGCGGCGAAAGCGAUGCACUGGCUGGUUUCUGACGCUGAGGUGCGAAAGCCAA
rnacentral:rRNA from 1 species